GGUAACUCCGGGCCAGGAGCGGCGGUAAGGAGGAGGGUGGAAGCGUUAAUCGGAAUUACUGGGCGUAAAGGGUGCGCAGGCGGUUUGUUAAGUCUGCUGUGAAAUCCCCGAGCUCAACUUGGGAAUUGCAGGGGAUACUGGCAAGCUGGAGUACGGUAGAGGAAGGUGGAAUUCCCGGUGUAGCAGUGAAAUGCGUAGAGAUCGGGAGGAACACCAGUGGCGAAGGCGGCCUUCUGGACCAGUACUGACGCUCAUGCACGAAAGCGUGGGGAGCAAACAGGAUUAGAUACCCGGGUAGUC
rnacentral:rRNA from 1 species